ACAAGUGUUCCGAAGUCAACGAGACGCACAGGUAUCCCGGACUAAAUCAAACAACAUUACUUGGAUCAAAGUGCAGUGUCCGAUACAGCGAAACAGUUCAGAUUGCGGAUACUAUGUUUUGAGGUUUAUGAAAGAAAUCCUUCAAACGAAUCAAUUAGAGAUUCCAAUCACGUACUUUGACGACUUCUAUGCUGCUUCUUACACGAGACUUAAGUUGGAAGAAAUCAAAGAGGAUUUGUGUCAAUUUUAUAUUCAUCAGCUAUUCAAGUAGGAUUUGUGUCGAUUUGAAGUAUAAUAUUAU